rnacentral:miRNA from 1 species
AAAGCUCCUGGGAUCUUGUGAAAAUGCUGAUUGUGAUUUAGUGUGUCUGGGGCAGGGCUGAGAUUCUGCAUGUCUAACAAGCUCCCAGAUAAUACCCAU